GUGGGGAAUAUUGGACAAUGGGCGAAAGCCUGAUCCAGCCAUGCCGCGAGUGUGAAGAAGGUCUUCGGAUUGUAAAGCACUUUAAGUUGGGAGGAAGGGCAGUAAGUUAAUACCUUGCUGUUUUGACGUUACCGACAGAAUAAGCACCGGCUAACUUCGUGCCAGCAGCCGCGCUAAUACGAAGGGUGCAAGCGUUAAUCGGAAUUACUGGGCGUAAAGCGCGCGUAGGUGGUUUUGUAAGUUGUAGGUGAAAUCCCCGGGAUCAACCUGGGAACUGCCUCCAAAACUGCAUGACUAGAGUACGGUAGAUGGUAGUGGAAUUUCCUGUGUAGCGGUGAAAUGCGUAGAUAUAGGUGGGAACCCCAGUGGCGAAGGCGACUACCUGGACUGAUACUGACUCUGAAGUGCAAAAGCGUGGGGAUCAAACAGGAUUAGAUACCCGUGUAGUCC
rnacentral:rRNA from 1 species